UACAGAGGGUGCGAGCGUUAAUCGGAAUUACUGGGCGUAAAGCGUGCGUAGACGGUUAUGUAAGUCAGAUGUGAAAGCCCCGGGCUCAACCUGGGAAUUGCAUUUGAGACUGCAUAGCUAGGAUGCGGAAGAGGGCAGUGGAAUUUCCGGUGUAGCGGUGAAAUGCGUAGAUAUCGGAAGGAACAUCAGUGGCGAAAGCGACUGCCUGGUCCAGCAUCGACGUUCAGGCACGAAAGCGUGGGGAGCAAACAGG
rnacentral:rRNA from 1 species